CUGUGGAGUCAGAUCCUCCUCUUCAGCCUGUCUGGCUGGGGCUGGAGGUCAGCUCUGACUAGGGAAGGAGAGCUGGGCAGACAAAAAGGGGCUCUGUUUGCCUUUCCAGUCCAGGAUGAGAAGAGAAACAGCAGGAGAGAACUCCAGGCUUUAUUUAUGCUCAUUAAGUGCCGAGGAGAAGCAACCCAGGAUGGGGUUGAUUCAGCCAGCGAGGACCAUCGCCCCAGGCAAGGGAGGAUGGCUGGGAUGUGUCAGGAAGAGGUCCCACCCUUCUGCACCCAGGAGCCCAGUGAAAAUCCUGUUGGAUCAUGGUGAAAAACAUGUUUUUUCCCAUUCGUAGAAGAUGUCUUUGCCUUUUUUCCUUGGAUUUCCUUUCUUCUGGGUUUUUUUCCAUGGAAAUAAAAGUGCAGGGAGGGGAAUGGA